rnacentral:lncRNA from 1 species
UGCCUGAGGGUGGGGAGUUCAGGGGCUGAUCCUUGGCAUACCUGACCCGGUCGUCCCCCACCUCCAGGUCCCAGCAGGUGCCGGCUCAUGAGCUCUCCAUCCAUAGGCUGGACCGGACGGCGCUUGCCCAGCACCGGGCCUUCCUCACUGUGUGCCAGGCUUCAGGGUUCCCUCUCUACAAGGCCCCGGAGCACCUCCUGCCCCACAUGGCUGAGCUGAAGAAGGAGCUGCUGGCCCUGCGUGCCCAGCUGGGCUACAAGAACUGGGCACUAGCCAGCCUGCAGCAGCGCCAGGGCUCCUGGGGGACCGACGCACAAGCCCUGGUGCAGGCCCUGCGGGACCACGACCGGGAGCAGGCCGGAGCCCUGGGGCCGCAGAUCCAGCUGGUGACGGAGCAGUGCAGGCAACGCAUCGAGCGCUGGCCCGAGGUGCAGGCUGCCAUCGACGCCUGGUGAGGAGGCCCCACCCAGCUGGUUUAUGGAACGUUUUGUUCUCCAGAGCGGAGAAGCCCAGCCCAUCCUGUGCUGGGGGUCGGUUCUCCCCUGCCUGGGGUGGGGCCUGUGAGGAAGAAGGGGGCUUGCCCA